GAUGAACGCUGGCGGCGUGCCUAAUACAUGCAAGUCGAGCGAACAGACGAGGAGCUUGCUCCUCUGACGUUAGCGGCGGACGGGUGAGUAACACGUGGAUAACCUACCUAUAAGACUGGGAUAACUUCGGGAAACCGGAGCUAAUACCGGAUAAUAUAUUGAACCGCAUGGUUCAAUAGUGAAAGACGGUUUUGCUGUCACUUAUAGAUGGAUCUGCGCCGCAGUAGCUAGUUGGUAAGGUAACGGCUUACCAAGGCGACGAUGCGUAGCCGACCUGAGAGGGUGAUUGGCCACACUGGAACGGAGACACGGUCCAGACUCCUACGGAAGGCAGCAGUAGGGAAUCUUGCGCAAUGGGCGAAAGCCUGACGGAGAAACGCCGCGUGAGUGAUGAAGGUCUUCGGAUCGUAAAACUCUGUUAUUAGGGAAGAACAAAUGUGUAAGUAACUAUGCACGUCUUGACGGUACCUAAGCAGAAAGCCACGGCUAACUACGUG
rnacentral:rRNA from 1 species